AUUGAACGCUGGCGGCAGGCCUAACACAUGCAAGUCGAGCGAGCGGCGGACGGGUGUGGAAUGUAUGGGGAAUGCGCGAUAGCGGGGGAUAACUAAUGGAAACGGUAGCUAAUACAGAAUACUAUCGGAUAGCACAUAGGGGAUUGGCUAGUAGGUGAGGUAAAGGCUCACCUAGACGACGCUCCCUAGCUGGUAUGAGAGGAUGAUCAGCCACACUGGGACUGAGACACGGCCCAGACUCCUACGGAGGCAGCAGUGGGGAAUAUUGCACAAUGGGCGCAAGCCUGAUGCAGCCAUGCCGCGUGUAUGAAGAAGGCCCUAGGGUUGUAAAGUACUUUCAGUCGGGAGGCGUUACCGACAGAAGAAGCACCGGCUAACUCCGUGCCAGCAGCCGCGGUAAUUC
rnacentral:rRNA from 1 species